CCAAAAUCUCAAGUGACCAACUUGAGAAACACCAAAAAUAGAGACGAUACAAGAACACCCUUUGGGACAAAUAUUGUACACAAAGAAACCUCACAAAUACUCUUGUAUAAUAUACACUCUAAUUUUUGGACACUAACUACCACUCACUAAAUUGUGAGUAACUCUCAAAAUUCUCUCUCGGAUAUAACACACAAAAGAAUUGUUUUUGUGUUGGUGUGUUUUAGCUUCCUCCCGAAUGGCCUUUAUAUAGGCAAAGAAUGUGGUGAAAAGACAUGGUUGGUGGGGUUGGUGACCUACCAAUUUGAACAAAUGAUGUGGUUGGUGACCUACCAAUUUGAACAAGAUUGUGGUUGGUGACCUACCAAUUUGAA
rnacentral:lncRNA from 1 species